UCAUCCUAGUAGCCCGUCUCUGGACCUGUUCCAGUUUGAAUUCAUCCUUGAACAUGGGACACCAGAACUGCACAAGCUGCUAAGGAGAGCUAUAGCAUAUAUCGCUCAGGUGUUUUAAGUGUAGGUGAAGGUGCUGUGCUUCUGGUUCUCUUUGUGGACAGGAACGGUUUCCACCAUUUUCUUGCCAUGAUAUCAGCUGUUGCUUAAAUGUGGCUCUUGCAUUAGAAUAAAUGGAUCCAAAGAAAUGGAACCAGCUUUAAUAGAAAGUGUAAAAUGUUUGUUCCUGUUCUAAACUGAUUUGCCUGUCUGUAGGUGGCUGACUAAAGGUUUUCAUUAUCUCCUGCCAGGUAUUUUUUACGGGAUGUCUGCUCUAUUCAUUCUCCUUCAUGACCACGUUCAAUAGUUCUAGGUAUGGGUUUCCCUUGUGCAGAUUUUGGAGUUAGGUUUUGACAGUCAGCAGGCAUUGGGCACCAGACAGACACAGGCUGCUGCUGUUGGAUCUUCUUCCCCCUUCUUACAGAGCAACUGGGCAAAACUUCUUAACUCCAUUUUUGGGCAGAACCCUUAGUUGGGAUUGCUCAAUGAACUGCAGGGUGUUUUGUUUUUUCCCCCUCCCACCGAGAAAUUUCCUAGUUUGUUAGAAAAGAGCUGUACAUCACGUUUCCUGCAUACUUUCCAGGGUCGACCCUACCAUGGAGAGACUUUCUCCAAAAAUAAACCCAAAUGAAAGAGACCUGAAAUCAGUGCUACAUGAAGUGUUUUUAGCCACCAAAGUGAGCUUCAUUUCAUGUUUGGGCUCUCUGAGAUUUGCCUCCGAGUCCUUGGCAUACAUUGCAGUUGCUAAGAGACUGCUAUGGUAACUUAUGAUCCUGAGAAGGAGAGGGCUAAGCCAAACAUCUAGCAUUCUCAGAAUGUGCAGGUGAAAAAUUCUUUAGGAAACUACUGGGGAACUAUAACCGAAAUAAAUAUUUCCCUUCUGUAGUCAGCAGAAAAGAGACUUCAGACCAUCCUACCAAAGGGAAAUACUCCCUUCAAGGCUUCAGUUCUUCCCAGAUUUCUAGGGCUUGAUGGCAGCUAUUGUAGAGAAGUCUAGAAGCAAAGCCAGUUCCACAAGUAAGCAAAAAAAAUCCCACCUGACUCUCUGCUCCACUUGCCCACGGACCAGAGCCCUCAUUCAGUUUGCGGAAUCUAUGCUUUCAUAUCAGACAGAUGAGUUCUAGAUAGAGCCUGGCUUAAACCUACCUCCUGUCACUGUCCUAUAGGUGAGCAGUUGACUAAUCUUGCAUCAGAAGAUUCUUGAAAGGAGCAGCACAGCUGCUUAAUCUUCAGAGAUCCACCAAGUAGCAUUGUGGAAGCUUAACUUGGUAUUUUGAUGCCUGCAAAAAGGUGGCAGAUUCUAAGACCUGUGCAGCCAUCAUCCUUUUAUCAGGUGCUCUGCAGAAAGUGCUGUAUAAUAAUUAUUGCGGAGUCACUCUGAGGUCAGAUCAGGUGUGACCAAUUAACUCCAGUGUGGAAGCAUGUGGGUCUGGAGUGCCUCACUUGAAGGCAGAGCGAAGCAGGGACAGAGGCACUGCAGGGAAAUCUUCAAAGUGCCAAACUCAAGGAAACUCACUUAAGGUGAGGUUCAUGUUCCUUUUUGUUACCAAAAAUGUCAAACCCGGGGGGGUUAAGUCUGGGCUUUAGGGAGCGUGUGUGUAUGCUCUGUUCAGAACAGUUAGUUACAACGCCGUAAUGAAAAUGGCACUCAAACUGCUUCAGCCACUAUCUUUGUCUUGCCAUCAAAGUAACAUUACAUCAGCGUGACAUUCUGCCUAUGAAGCUAGUGCUGUGCAUUGCAUGCCUACAAAAUGGUCUUAAGAUUAGACCAUCCUUGAAGUAAAUACUUCUUCAUAGGUCACAAGAUUGCAUUUAUUUCCUUCUGUCCUAACUCUGUACCUCAAGAGGAAAAUAGCAUCAGCUGGAUGUGAGGAAAAUUAAUUCAUUCCAAGUAAAUUUCAAAAGUGCCUUCAGAAAGUCCAUAGCUGUCUGUGCCAUAUAUUGCUAAUGGGAAAAAGGGGCUUUGAGUCAUCAGUUGUCUUAUGGCUGAAAUUAUGUGGUGAAAAAGUUUAUCAUUCUAAGCACCCAUUCUUUCUGUAAUCUAUUAUUGCCCAUCAGACCCGAGCCACAUCAGCAUUCUGGGCAGGAAAAUCUCAGGCCAACUAUGAAAAAAUUGGCAAGGGAGGAAACUGGUCCUCCAGCCAUAUGGCUACUGCACAAUUAAUGCCACAGACUUUGGUGAUGGAUGCUGCUUUUGUUGGACAGGUACUGCAUGCAGUAAUACGCUCUCCAUCCACACCCCAAAUUCCUUCCUGUACAUCUAGAUCUGCCGUUUCCCUUAGCCCAUCCUUCGUAUUUCACCACUAUUAAAAUUCCAUACUAAGAAAUGGUAAAGCCAGAUAUAAGUACAGCGGAGAGAGACUUCCCUACCUGACAAGUUUUUCUUCGCUUCACCUCCUCAGAUGUUAAUGUAAUUUGGCCAACAUUGGGUGGUUUAUGCUCUGCAGACACAGUGGGAGGUGUUAAGGGAAAGCAAUCUCAACUACAAGACUUCCAUGACAUUAGUUCUCUGCAUAUUUUAUAGCACAUGAAACACACCCUCUGGCAGUGAUUCUAGGAGACACAGCCAAGCCCUAUUUCUGCUAACUGACAUGUUUGAUUCUGCCUCCAAAAUUUUGCAGAGGAAACCCACUGGGAAAAGAAAAAUCAGAUCCUUAGCGGAGGCACAACUCCCAACUGGCUGAAGAGCAAGAACUACACCCCUUGUGAUUGUAGCUCCAUACUUUUUGGUCAACUGCAAAUAUCCAUAUUGAGCAACAUUGUUAAGUUGGCUCCUGCAAGUGGCUGAGCACCAUCGACUUCUACUGGAAGGCUGAGCUCAGAAAAGCAGAAGUUAAAGAAAGAAGAGAUUUUACGUGGUCACCUCCAACAUACUUUGCUAGCAUAAGACUGUUUACUCUGGUUUGCUAACUACUACUUUGUUCAGAAUAGUUUUAAGCAUCACAAGCGAUGUGGGCUCCAUUUCCCUUGAGAAACCACUCCCCAGCAUGAUAUUUCAUUAUGGAUACAUUCUCCUUGUUAGAAGAAAGAGCUUUUCUCUUACUCCUAGAUAUAUUCCUUGUGCCCCCAUAAACAGUUCCUUGCCCUCCUUGGUGUUCAUAUCUUUCCUAUACUUGGAAACAAGUUGUCAUUUAGCUAAGCUAUGAAGGACCAUCCAUCAGUUUUAGCCCACGGAUAUGCAUAAGCGUAGUCCCCUGAAGACAAUAGAGUUAUACCAGAGUGUUGAGGGCAUAACUUGGCCUCAUGUCAGUCCUUCCAGGUGUAACUCCUAUUCCACCUGGAGGUUUUGAAAUCUUGAUAGUAUCCCCCUUGACAUCCAUCAAAGCCAAUUUACCUUUGUCUCUCCAGUUAUACUAUACAAAUGUUUUGUUAAUCUUGGAAGACAAGUGGGAUUUUAGGUAUCUUUAGGGAUUAUCAUUCUUCCAGCACAGGUAGGCUGCUAUUCCUCAUUGCAUAUGAGCCUACAUUUUUGUUUUUAUUUGUUAGACUUUUAUAGCUGAAUUGUUUGUGGGAGUGUGGGAAGGUGGGGUUACCCCGAGGUUAAAUUCCAAUUUGUCAAUGUAGUACUCAGUCUGAGCUUUGGGCAAAGGUCAAACUUUCUAUUGUUAUUUUCCCCCAGAAUUUCCAACAUACCAAAAUCCCUUUGUAUUUGUGUCCUCAUGGACAUUCACAAGCCUCCCAAUUUGGUGUGCUCUCAUAUUCCAGAUUAAUAAAGUUGCUAUCAUACCCCUGUCCUAGAAAG